UCAGCGUGCUAAUGGUGGAAAAGUUUCUUCUCAGUGUAAUCUGAGCAUUGUGUACAGAUUGGAUUCACUGGGCCCAGCUGGUGCAACGACCCACCGCUAUUGCAAUGUGGUGAAAUUAUUUUUGGUAAAAAAAGGACGUAUCCUUACUUUUUUCACCAAGACUUUCUAUAUUCCUUGCAUCUAAGAGAAGAGCCAGCAGUGAAGGUGACAGAUUUUCCGGACCGGCCGGUGUCCGCUGCCUGGAUCGGUUUGCUCGCAGGCGCGGUAACAUGGACAAGAGACAAGGAGGAGGAAACAUGACAACAUCGUACGUGUGCUGGAGUCCACUGCUGUAUGAAAUGAAAGUGUGAAUGCAACCAUUUCUUUAACAUGUACACAGCGAUGUCAUCACUUCUUAGUCUUCGCUGGUGGUGAGGGUCUGUAUUGGAAGGAACAGAUCUUGAUCCAUGUCCUGUGAGACCUGUGAGAGUUGAUGAUCCUCAUCCAGGUUAAACAGUUCGCACACAGUUCACCGUCUGCCACCGGAGAUCCGGGUGGAUUGAAAGAUCACAUUCCUCUGCCAGGACAUGGGAGAGGAUGGAAACCAUCGUGUUUAGCCUUUGUUUGACAAUGAAAACACACUUUAAAUAUACUGGCAUUUACUCAGUACUCAGUACUGCUUGCUACUUCACAAUUCACAGAGGGGAUGGAAGAGAAGGGUUGAGACAGGAAGAGGUUCAAAACAAAUCUGAGGCAUCUGGCGACUUUCCCACAAACUAGUCUAAGUAGUGGGGAAAAUUAACUUAUCUGAGAACAUAUACACUAAAUAAUUUUUCCUCUCAGCAGGAAUGGGUUAAUUAUGACUGAGGUGUGAGAAUUAAAAGAAAGCAUCCCAGACCUA